UACGUAGGUGGCAAGCGUUGUCCGGAAUUAUUGGGCGUAAAGCGCGCGCAGGCGGCCUCCUAAGUCCGAUGUGAAAGCCCACGGCUCAACCGUGGAGGGUCAUUGGAAACUGGGGGACUUGAGUGCAGGAGAGAAGAGUGGAAUUCCACGUGUAGCGGUGAAAUGCGUAGAGAUGUGGAGGAACACCAGUGGCGAAGGCGACUCUUUGGCCUGUAACUGACGCUGAGGCGCGAAAGCCAGGGGAGCAAACGGG
rnacentral:rRNA from 1 species